AGGACGAACGCUGGCGGCGUGCUUAACACAUGCAAGUCGAGCGGUAAGGCCCUUUCGGGGGUACACGAGCGGCGAACGGGUGAGUAACACGUGAGUAAUCUGCCCUCCACUUGGGGAUAAGCUUCGGAAACGGGGUCUAAUACCUGAUACGACACUCUCCUGCAUGGGAUGGGUGUGGUAAAGUUUUUUCGGUGGGGGAUGUGCUCGCGGCCUAUCAGCUUGUUGGUGGGUAAUGGCCUACCAAGGCUUCGACGGGUAGCCGGCCUGAGAGGGUGACCGGCCACACUGGGACUGAGACACGGCCCAGACUCCUACGGGAGGCAGCAGUGGGGAAUAUUGGACAAU
rnacentral:rRNA from 1 species